AGUGAACGCUGGCGGUAGGCCUAACACAUGCAAGUCGAGCGGCAGCACAGUAAGAGCUUGCUCUUACGGGUGGCGAGUGGCGGACGGGUGAGGAAUACAUCGGAAUCUACUUUUUCGUGGGGGAUAACGUAGGGAAACUUACGCUAAUACCGCAUACGACCUACGGGUGAAAGCAGGGGAUCUUCGGACCUUGCGCGAUUGAAUGAGCCGAUGUCGGAUUAGCUAGUUGGCGGGGUAAAGGCCCACCAAGGCGACGAUCCGUAGCUGGUCUGAGAGGAUGAACAGCCACACUGAACUGAGACACGGUCCAGACUCCUACGGGAGGCAGCAGUGGGGAAUAUUGGACAAUGGGCGCAAGCCUGAUCCAGCCAUACCGCGUGGGUGAAGAAGGCCUUCGGGUUGUAAAGCCCUUUUGUUGGGAAAGAAAAGCAGCAGGUUAAUACCCCGCUGUUCUGACGGUACCCAAAGAAUAAGCACCGGCUAACUUCGUG
rnacentral:rRNA from 1 species